rnacentral:rRNA from 1 species
GCCUACGGCCAUACUGGACCGAAAGCCCCCGAUCUUGGAAAGUAAACAGUCCCGGGCCUGGCUAGUACUUGGAUGGGUGACCCCCUGGGAAUCCCAGGUGCCAUAGGCA